GUGAAUCAUCAAAUUUUUGAACGCAAAUUGCACUUUCUGGUAUUCCGGAAAGUAUGCCUGUUUGAGGGUCAGUUAAAUAAAAAUCGGGGUUGUUUCUGCCUUUCGGUGUUACGCGACGGAAUUUGGUCGUCUUACCCUCGGGUUAGGUACUUAAAAUUUUUGCAUGAUUUUCUAACGUAGUUAUUUCGCUUACUUACGUUUGAUAUAUCGAAUG
rnacentral:misc_RNA from 1 species